GACGAACCGUGCGAACGUUAUUCGGAAUCACUGGGCUUAAAGCGCGUGUAGGCGGGCCGCCACGUCGGCUGCUGAAAUCCCCCGGCUCAACCGGGGAAGGGGCACCGAUACGAGCGGCCUCGAGGGGGGUAGGGGGGUCUGGAACUUCCGGUGGAGCGGUGAAAUGCGUUGAGAUCGGAAGGAACGCCCGUGGCGAAAGCGGCAUCCUGGACCGACACUGACGCUGAGGCGCGAAAGCUAGGGUAGCAAACGGG
rnacentral:rRNA from 1 species